GGUGGGUUGGCUGAGCGGUCUAAAGCAGGAGUUUGCUAAACUCCCGGGGCCUAAAAAGUCCCGCGCAGGUUCAAAUCCUGCACCCACCGCAA
rnacentral:tRNA from 1 species